rnacentral:tRNA from 1 species
GCCUUCGUGGUGUAAUGGUCAGCACACUGAGCCGGUAAUUCAGAGGUCUGCGGUUCGAUCCCCGGCGAAGGCG